CAGCACAUGCUUCAGCGCUCCGAGUGUUUAUAGCGUUCAGACUCAACACUUUAUAACACACUGCUGUUUACCACGGUACAAAACCAACAAACACAAUGAAUCUCUUCAGCAGCUUCAUCUGGAUUCUGGCAGCUUUUAUUCCAGCAUCCAGAGGAAUCACUGUGACUCAGCCUGAAGCUGUGACUGUUUCUGAACGACAAGACGCCACGAUAGCGUGUAAAACUGAUCCUGGAAUAACUGGCUUGGGUUUAGCUUGGUAUCAGCAGAAACCUGGAGAAGCUCCUAAACUCAUCAUUUAUGAUGUAACCGAUCUCUAUGAUGAGAGUUUCAGUCGAUUCAGUGGGAAUGGAACAGAAGAGGGGACUGAUUUCACUCUGACCAUCAGUGGAGUCCAGACUGAAGAUGCUGGACAUUAUUACUGUCAGAGUUUUCAUGUCACCAGCAGCUGGGUGUUCACACAGUGA